rnacentral:rRNA from 1 species
GACGAACGCUGGCGGCGUGCCUAAUACAUGCAAGUUGAGCGCUGAAGGUUGGUACUUGUACCGACUGGAUGAGCAGCGAACGGGUGAGUAACGCGUGGGGAAUCUGCCUUUGAGCGGGGGACAACAUUUGGAAACGAAUGCUAAUACCGCAUAAAAACUUUAAACACAAGUUUUAAGUUUGAAAGAUGCAAUUGCAUCACUCAAAGAUGAUCCCGCGUUGUAUUAGCUAGUUGGUGAGGUAAAGGCUCACCAAGGCGAUGAUACAUAGCCGACCUGAGAGGGUGAUCGGCCACAUUGGGACUGAGACACGGCCCAAACUCCUACGGGAGGCAGCAGUAGGGAAUCUUCGGCAAUGGACGAAAGUCUGACCGAGCAACGCCGCGUGAGUGAAGAAGGUUUUCGGAUCGUAAAACUCUGUUGGUAGAGAAGAACGUUGGUGAGAGUGGAAAGCUCAUCAAGUGACGGUAACUACCCAGAAAGGGACAGCUAACUACGUG